UUGAGUCGAGCGACCGCGCCUCGCACCCCCAUCUGGAUCCGCCGCCUCCCCGCCGCAGGCCCACAUCGUCCGCCGCGCCCUCCUCCCCGUGUCGUCCGAGUCCUCCGCGUGCAGUUUGCCGACGCCGAGGCCCAGGCCGCCGCGCUCCGGGCUUGCGCCGGCCGUCUCGAGCGCGUGCCGCCGACCGCAACGGGCUGCUCGGCACACUCGGCACCGCCACGGGCAACGGGUGGUAGGACGAGGAGAGGGAGGUGGAGACAGCGGAGGAGCUGGUAGGAGGAGGAGAGGAAGGUGGAGGCGGCAGAGGAGCCAAAAGGAGUAGGAGAGGGAGGUGGAGGCGGCGGAGGAGGGGACAUGGAUGACGGGGCAGAUCGGACUACACGCCGGAGGACGAGGGCAUCACACCGCCUACCGAUUCCUUCCUCCUCGUGUCCCGGUUACAUGGCCGUUGCUGCGGUCGCCCAGCAUCGACCGCCUUGCCCCGAUUAGCUCUUGGAUACGCGGACGACCGGAUGUGCUCCAGCGCAGCUGCCUACGGGCUGCUCCCAUGAUGAAUCGACAACUAAGCUCAGGACGUGAUAUGGUGCUCGGUGUAGGUGGCCAUGGUGGACCUGAAGCUGGCUGAGAUAAGUGAUGGGAUCGAGUGGCGGCGCUCCCGGACGACGGCGGCGAGCACAUGGCGGACGAGAGGAGCAGGAGGGGAGGCGCGGAGGCAGGGCCAUAUGCGUCGGACGCGCGCGUUCGCCUGCAGUCAAUGCGGACACAACGGCCGUCCAUGGCGGCUCGGGUUGAUGUAGGAGGACGAGGGGAGGACCUCGCAAGGCCCGGCACUGGUAAUGGAGCGGAGGCGGCUGGAUCUGGCGAUUCUGGAGGGGCUAGCGAUGAGCGGCUCCAUGGGCGGCGACCUGCGGGGUUCAAGCGGCGGCUGCCAUGAAGGUAUGAGCGAUCUGGUUUCCCCUUUUAAUUUGUUGUUCUAUACGAGGAUGAUGCAGAUGCCUUUUGGUGUUUUGAGAUGCUACUGAGAAGGAUGGUAAUUUGUAUCUAUGUCAAACUAUACUGGCAUAUGUUAGGUUGGUAUUUUUGCAUGACUUAAUGCAUGAUAAAUUCUGUUGCAUCUCAGCGUGAAAAUUUCCACCUUGAGGGACCGACAGGAGUUAUGAAGCGGUUGGAAGCAUUGUGGAAGAUCAUGGAAUUGACAGAUACUGAACUAAUAAACUGAUAAGGAUCAAACAGGCAAAUGGAGUCCUAAUUUUCUAUUGGAAAUUCACAUGAUAUGGUUCCAUGUUUGAGGCUUCAACAGACUGUGUAUGCCUCAAGAUUUGAGGUGUGAGUGUACGACUUGAUUUUCUGUGUUGUUACAGUUAAUCGGUAAUGGAUGAAUCAAAUUUUGUUAUGUAGAUUGGUAAAACUAUUUAAGUUAAAAUUUUCUUAUUUAUGGGUUAUAAUUUCUUACUCCAAAAGCAGAUUUAUGUAUGUUAAAUAGAUUUUCAUAAGGAUAUAAGACUAGAAGUGUGGAUGUUUGUCAAUUUUCAGAGGGAAAUAAGCAACAGAAUACACAUAAAAACAUGGCUGCUUUGGGAAAUUUUGGAUAUUACCCAUGCUCAUGCAUGAUGGCAGUUGUUGCGAAGAUCAUCUUAUCUAUCCAUCAUGAAUCAUCCCAGCACAACAAAUUGUCUAUUUAGUUCAUCACAAACACCAGUAUCACGGGGAUAAUGGAGGUAAAUCAAAGCUCAAUGCUGAACCCUUGGUACCUCCUCCAUGUUAUGUUAGGACAAGAAAACAACCCAAGGGGCACCAAACCAUUUAUGCUCAGCUAGCUUCAGAUUUUUGUUUUUGUAUAAUUAAGAUG